CCUACGGGUGGCAGCAGUGAGGAAUAUUGGUCAAUGGACGAGAGUCUGAACCAGCCAAGUAGCGUGAAGGAUGACCGCCCUAUGGGUUGUAAACUUCUUUUAUAUGGGAAUAAAAGGUUCCACGUGUGGGAUUUUGUAUGUACCAUAUGAAUAAGGAUCGGCUAACUCCGUGCCAGCAGCCGCGGUAAUACGGAGGAUUCGAGCGUUAUUCGGAUUUAUUGGGUUUAAAGGGAGCGUAGGUGGAUUGUUAAGUCAGUUGUGAAAGUUUGGGGCUCAACCUUAGAAUUGCAGUUGAAACUGGCAGUCUUGAGUACAGUAGAGGUGGGCGGAAUUCGUGGUGUAGCGGUGAAAUGCUUAGAGAUCACGAAGAACUCCGAUUGCGAAGGCAGUUCACUGGACUGCAACUGACACUGAGGCUCGAAAGUGUGGGUAUCAAACAGGAUUAGAUACCCGAGUAGUC
rnacentral:rRNA from 1 species